rnacentral:rRNA from 1 species
CUGAUGCGUUGUUGGGUAGGGGAGCGUUCUGUAAGCCUGCGAAGGUGUGCUGUGAGGCAUGCUGGAGGUAUCAGAAGUGCGAAUGCUGACAUAAGUAACGAUAAAGCGGGUGAAAAGCCCGCUCGCCGGAAGACCAAGGGUUCCUGUCCAACGUUAAUCGGGGCAGGGUGAGUCGACCCCUAAGGCGAGGCCGAAAGGCGUAGUCGAUGGGAAACAGGUUAAUAUUCCUGUACUUGGUGUUAUUGCGAAGGGGGGACGGAGAAGGCUAUGUUGGCCGGGCGACGGUUGUCCCGGUUUAAGCGUGUAGGCUGGUUUUCCAGGCAAAUCCGGAAAAUCAAGGCUGAGGCGUGAUGACGAGGCACUACGGUGCUGAAGCAACAAAUGCCCUGCUUCCAGGAAAAGCCUCUAAGCAUCAGGUAACAUCAAAUCGUACCCCAAACCGACACAGGUGGUCAGGUAGAGAAUACCAAGGCGCUUGAGAGAACUCGGGUGAAGGAACUAGGCAAAAUGGUGCCGUAACUUCGGGAGAA